rnacentral:rRNA from 1 species
UACGAAGGGGGCUAGCGUUGCUCGGAAUCACUGGGCGUAAAGCGCACGUAGGCGGCUUGUUAAGUCAGGGGUGAAAUCCUGGAGCUCAACUCCAGAACUGCCUUUGAUACUGAGGAGCUUGAGUCCGGGAGAGGUGAGUGGAACUGCGAGUGUAGAGGUGAAAUUCGUAGAUAUUCGCAAGAACACCAGUGGCGAAGGCGGCUCACUGGCCCGGUACUGACGCUGAGGUGCGAAAGCGUGGGGAGCAAACAGGG